CCUACGGGGGGCUGCAGUGGGGAAUAUUGGACAAUGGGGGCAACCCUGAUCCAGCCAUGCCGCGUGUGUGAAGAAGGCCCACGGGUUGUAAAGCACUUUCAGUGAGGAAGAACGCCUGGUGGUUAAUACCCAUCAGGAAAGACAUCACUCACAGAAGAAGCACCGGCUAACUCCGUGCCAGCAGCCGCGGUAAUACGGAGGGUGCGAGCGUUAAUCGGAAUUACUGGGCGUAAAGCGCGCGUAGGUGGCUUGAUAAGCCGGUUGUGAAAGCCCCGGGCUCAACCUGGGAACGGCAUCCGGAACUGUCAAGCUAGAGUGCAGGAGAGGAAGGUAGAAUUCCCGGUGUAGCGGUGAAAUGCGUAGAGAUCGGGAGGAAUACCAGUGGCGAAGGCGGCCUUCUGGACUGACACUGACACUGAGGUGCGAAAGCGUGGGUAGCAAACAGGAUUAGAUAUCCCUGUAGUC
rnacentral:rRNA from 1 species